GCUGAAUGGAUUGUAACAAAGCAAGAGAAGAUGCAGUAGGGUUUGACUCACCAACCAAGCCCUCUGCCGGCGACGGCCUCGGGGCUGUUCCUUGAGGUCACACCGAACCGGAAUGCUCUCUCCUCACGCCAACCGGGGAAUCCACACGAUGCCGGGAAUAUCCAGAUUGUGAUCCACUGCCAGACCUGGAACAAGAAGAAGAAUGC